AACGACAUAGCUCAACAGGCAGAGCGGCCUGCAUUGCAGGAGAGACGGCGGUUCGAGNCCGCCUGUCGUUCCCA
rnacentral:tRNA from 1 species